CCUUGAACUUGAAGAUGCAGAGCUUUUCUGAAUGAAAACUUGACAGUACGGCGGUAGCCUGUUGUUGAAAUUAUUUCAAUAUGGUCCUAUAUGGUAAACAUUUAGUUAAAACAAGUGUGAGAGUAUAAUUUACGUUUAAAGAGCUAGGUUUUUUGUUUUGUUUCUUUUUUUUGGGGGGGGGGGGGAUAAGGGUAGGUCACUACAGUGCAGUGUAGUGGUAAGAGUGGUGUUUUUUUUGCACGGAAUAAAAAUGAAAUAAGACAUAUGUUUAUGUUGAACGUUUUCUGUCAUGAACGUUGCACGAAAAAUAAAUGCUUUGGUUUGAACCUUUUUCUGACUGAGAAAUUGCUGCCUCCUUGUAUGGGGGUCUCAUUGGGGGGUUCCGAUCCCGGAUCCCGCUUACUGUUUUGUCAGAUUCCCGUAUCCCGCUUACACUAUGUACAUAAGCAAUUCUCAUUUUUUUGUCAUUUCCCGGGUCCCGUAAGACCUAAUUUCCCGUUUUCACGCCACAAUAAUUUGACUUUCACGUGUCAUGCUUACAAAAAAUCGGCAAUCUCGCGUCACGCUUCCAAUGAGCCACUUGUAUUAACUUUACGUUUGAUACUAAAUGCUUGCACACUUGACAAUUUCACGUUGAACAUUUCUGUAAUGAACGUUGCACACAACCUUGAGUCAUCUUGUAUAUAAACUCUUUGUUUUACGAUAUUCCCCCGCGUAUUUCUUCAACGCUCACAAAAUGAGAUCACCACAAUAGACCCACUUUGAACGUAUUAACAUGUUGAACGUUAAACGUUUGAUAUUCCCGAUUAAGUAUAAUACACAUUUAUGAUAUAAUUCAAUUUGGUUUACAGCUUUUAAAAAAAAGUAUUUCUUGACGAUCCCUGCCAAUUUAAGCGUUUGAAUUUUAUUUGAACAAUACUGAGCAUGCAAAAUAAGCAUUUGAAAAUCAAGAUGCUCAUAAAAUUAAAUAAGCAGAAUAUGUUGCAUGAGGCACCAGUCUUGUAAGACAGAAAGUCAAAUUAAAAAGUUAAAACACAUAGAAAGUAAAAUAAAAACACGGCAAUCAUGUCGCACAAAAAUAACCCAUUAUCCACCCUCUGUCUCUGAAAGGUAUAGAUAAGGGACCUACCAAUUGGUUUUUAUGGGGGUCUAGGAUGAAAAAUUUUGUCCUGCAUUCUAUUAGUUGUUAUGUAUUUUUCACUCUUUUCGGUCCUGCCUUUUUUGUACUAAAAUAGAGAAUGGAAAUGGGGAAUGUGUAAAAAAGACAGCAACCUGGCUACCAGAAGAGCAGAAACCAGCAGAAGGCAACUAAUGGGUCUUCAACAUAACAAAAAAAUCCCACACCAGGAGGCGUGCUUCAGCUAGCCCCAAAACAAAAAUGUGUACUAGUGCUGUCUAGUUCAUUAGUUUAUCCUCCCCUUUUUUACAUGCAUGUAAAUAGAUCUUAAUAAGUCAUCCUGCCUUUUUUUUUGGCAAAGUGUCUCAUCCCCUAUUUUAUUUCUCCAAACUCCUGUCCCCAGGCUUCUUUUUUGGUCCAAAAAUUUCUGCAAAUUUAAAAGUUAUCAUACAUAUUUUUAAAUUACUGUACAAUAUCUACUAGGUAGACUACUAGAAGUAUUCAGAAAAACAAAACAAUUUUGGACAUUAAACAAGUUACCAUAUUUUGUUAAAUUUCGUGAUUUUCUUUGUUUUUCAUCAACUUUUUAAGUAUAUUUUAGAUUGAAAAAGUAUAUAUAUGUGCGCACCCAAGAAACAACUUUAUACUAGUGAGAUUAUGUUGAUAGUUAUAAUUAAGUUUCUGUUAAAUUAUUUUGUUGUUUCUUGGCUGUGCACAAUGUUUCUACAACAGAAUUAAAGAUAGAAAACUGCAUAAAUUCAUUUUUGUGAAAACAGUAUAUAUUAUGACGUAAUUAUGAUGUCAUCACAUAAAAAUCUUAAUGUUUUUCAUUGAUAUUUCUUGACCCUAUGCAUUUCUCAACAGUAUGUGCCAAUUUGAGAAAGUUAUCAAACAUUUUGUUUUCUUGGGCCAAAACCAGGCCUUAAUGCCCCUACUCCUUUCAUCCUGAUUUUUUUAUAUUAUAGUCUAUUUGCAUAAUGUUAUUAUUAAUAAAACCUCAAUCUUUAUCCUAAACUUCAUAUUGUAUAUAUGUUCCAGACCAUAUGAGUAUUUGGACCGUACACCUAUAUUCGUGCGGUCAGACCAUAUAUAUGUGUACGGUCAGAGCGCAAUUUUAAUUUUAAUGAGGUACUCAUACAAGUCUAGUUAAAGGACUAACUGUGCAGACGCUUUUUUCAAUUUUUUUUUUUUAUCAAAAUCUGUUAUUGAAUAUAUAAACACAAAAAUUAAUAUUAUGACAAUUAGAUGAAUAAAGUGAAAUAUAUCAUCAUAUCACCAACCCUAAUAAUCUGGAAACAACUAUUUAAUAUUUGAGUAACAAAACUACCUUUAUUUAUUCUUUGCACUAGUUUUUGAUGCGUUUUAUUAUAUUUUCUCUAUGUGUUUUCAAGGGAUUUUUUUAUAGUUUUUGUCCAGUGUCUGUGAUGUUUUUGUAGAAAAGUUCCUACAUCUUCUAAAAUAUUUUCUUCCAACAUUAUGUUUAUUCUGAUAACUUCAAUUUCAGCCAGCAUAAUUCAAUAUCAUGUAUUAACUGACAUGCUAAAUGCACAGGAGCUUAACAGAAUAAAGCUGUGAUUUAUAAUGAUACUGUUCCACAACAUUUUAGGGUCAGACAAAUUUAAUGCUUGAUUGGGAGCAAUUAUUUGUGGUCACUUAAACUGAAGAAAUUUAUUGCUUUUAAUUGAUUGACCAUGUGCAGCUGGUAAGCACAUAAUCAGCUGAUUUACUAAAACAACAUUGAUUACCUUGAAUAUUAUUAUGGAUAGAGAUAAAAAUUUUAACAGCAAUAAGGUUCAGCAAAGUAAGAUCUACAAUUAGAUCAACAUGACCGGAGUUAUAGUCUAUUUAAAUAAUUUUUUGGUAAAUUUUUGUAAUCUGAAACUACUGGUCCAAAUACAUGAAAUACAAUACAAUACAUUACAAUACAAUAUAUAAUAUGUAUACAAUAUGGAAUCAAAGGAGUAGGGGCAAUAAAGGUCAUUUUUUUUUCGAUUGAAUUUUGCCUAUUAUCUUGAAAACUAAAACUAAAAUAGAUAGAGAGAAACUUUAAAAAAUGCAAAAAUGAUCAGAAAAAAUACUCUUUUGUGUUUGGAUCAAGAGCUAAAUAAGAUCAUGAAGAUAGAGAGAAACUAAACAGACGUCAUUGAUCAGCAAUAUAUUUACGAUACAAUUUUUUUUUUAUUAAAGAUCUAUUAAAAAACAUACACAUAUAUAUUGUAAGAUAAUUUAAAUCAUCAAGAGAAGGUAUGCACAUGUAUAUAUACAACUCCUCUAAAUUUAACCCAACACUGUAUCGGUUAUAAAAAAGUUAAAGGAUAAAAUCAUGCAUUCUUGAUAUCAAUAAAUUGAAUGUUCAAUGUUGACAAAUCGUUAUAUUUGAUCUGUCAACCUAUAAAUAUUUAGGUAUACUGAGCAGGAAAAGGAAAAGAGAAAUAAAAUAAUAUUAGAAAAUUUGCAAAAUUGAUAUAAAAAUGAGUGAAAGUUGUAUAAAUAAACGUACAACUAUCCUAACACAUGAUCAUAAGACACCUCUCGUGUAGUCUUAACUUUAUGACCAAUAUAAAGAGAUGUCCUAAUUUAGGACCGCCUUGUGAAACCCACUUAGGACUAAGAUAUGUCGUAAGACCAUCCUAAGACAUGUCUAAGCCCUAAGACAGCUUCGGGAAACUGGCCCCUGCACUUUAUCAUGUUUAUCUGAGGCGCUAGACCACUUGACCACCUGGGCUUCACAAAAAUAAAGUUUUCGAUGGCCGGGUCCCUGUGUUACCUUUUCUCCACAGUUUUUAUUUAACAUUGUAAUACAGUACAUGAUAUAUAAGGCAUGAACAUGGGAUAUAUAUUUGUACGAUCUGUUAGUUAAAUGGGUUUUGUUAAAAUAUACUUUUUCACUUUUUGGGUCUUUUGGAAAAUGUUGUUUGUGCUGUAUUUAGACCCUUCUACAACGAAAUUUGUUUCACAUUGCACACAUAUAAAAAUUGCGGUUUUUAUCCAAAACAAUCAUAGGUUUGAACGUAGUUUUCAAUUAAUAUUUGUAUAUACAUGUACAUGUAUUGUAUUGUAUAUAUAUAUAUGUCAAAAUAUUCACUUCAAACUAUCCUGAACCAGUUAUUUCAAGACAGGAUUACAUUUGUAUAUAUAGUCAUAUAAAUUACAUUUGUAUAUAUAUAUAUAGUCAUAAUAUGCAUUAAUUAGGGAAUGAUGAGUUACUGUUAAACUUCAAACCCACUGUUGUUGAACUUUUAAAGAAAUAUUUGAUAGAGAAUUGUUGACAUUAUCUUUUAAUUUUAUAUUACUGUAACUAAACUUCAAAGUGAAAUUAAUUAACUUGCCAUUUUCUUCUUUGAACUGUUUUCUUCCACUGCAUGGUUCUUCACAAAAUUACCACAAAAACAAUAUUGUAAUAAAUUGAAGAGAUAUAAGAGUAGCACAACUAUGUGUGAUUUUCAACAUAAAUUUAUGUUGCUCUUCACAUUUUAUGAUGUCCAGUAAUGAGGUCAUGACAUCAAUAUAAAUCCAUAUAGUAACCAAUGAGAUAAAAGAGAAAUUCAUUUAAUGUCUUCCUAAAAUCUUUGGAUAAAAACAGGUCACAUUUACUUGUACAUGUUGUGUGUAUUGUACUUAAAUAUAAAAACACAAGUAAAUGUUAUACAUAUAUAUAUAUACUCUCACCACAUUCAAUGUCAUUCAUUCAAUGGACUUAAUUAAGUAUAAUGGGAAUAGAUCUAUUAAUGUGAAUAAAAGUGAAAUAAUAUUAGAGAAGGAUUAGAAUACACAGUAUUGUAUAUGUGCACAAUGACAUGCAUACAGGGAUAGAAUUUUGAAAAAUUUAUUGUAAGUAAUAAUUUCAUACUUAGUGCCAAUAAUUGUUUAUUUUUUUGUAUUGUGUAUGGUCUCCUUAAAGUUAUAUUUUGAGGAGGAUUAAGGGGGGUGGGGCUAAUGGGCCCGGGCACCCCUUUUGAUAAAAUUUUGUUUGAUUAAUUUAUUUAGGGAUCAAAUCAUUAGUGAUUUUUUGAGCGGGUCCUUUUUAAAAAAAUUCUUGAUCCGCCACAGACAUACAGAAAUUAAGUAUGUUUUAUAAUUCUAAGAAAUUCUAUGAUAGAUAUAUAUCAAUUAAAAAAUAUUUAUAUUGAUAUAAGCAUUAGUGAUAAAUUUAAUAAUCUGUCACCUAAGGAUAUUAUGUCCUACCUUUAGGCAUUAUGCUUUCUGAUGAGUCAUAAGUAUGCGUCUGUUCCUAUCUGUCUGUCCGGCUUCAAGUUUAAGUUUUUGAUGAAGUUGAAGUCCAAUCAACUUGAAACUAGGACAAUAAUUAUUGUUCCCUAUAAUGAUAUGAUCUUUCUUAUUUUAUUAUCCAAUUAGUUUUUUGCCCCCAAUUUCAUGGUCCACUUAACAUACAAAAAUGAUAGUGCUAGUGGGUCAUCUGUUCACUAAGGACACAUUAUUGUUAUUGAUUUAAAUGCAAAGUAUUAAGAAUUAGUUUCUGAAUUUCACCAGUUGAUAAUUGCCUACAAUAUAAAAUUUAAGAAUUUUGUACAAGUAUGUCAUUUGAAAGUAUAUUUGACAUGGAUGAGAGUUUAGAUUGGGUUUACAAAAUAGGGAAUAAGAGGCAAAAUGUACAGAAUAAAGGGGGGGAAAAAAGGGGAAAAGAAGGAAAACUAAAACUAAAUAAAUAUUUAAGGAAUGACUGUAAUAUUUUUUCUGUCUAUGAAGAAAUAACAUAAAAAAUUUGGUGCACACUGAAUAACGCGUGUAGCGGGUUAUUUUGCAGUGUGCACCACUUCUUUUAUGUUAAUUAUUUUGAAUAAACAGAAAAAAAUAUUACAGUCAUUUCUUAUAAUUUAAUUCUAAAUUCCAUUUUAAACGGUAGAAAUCCAUUAAAAAACGUUGAUGACAUCUCAGUCACAUGACUGAACUAUGUCUAUGGGCUGAUAACAAAAUAAUGUCAGCCAAUCAGAAGACGCGUUACAUCCAAAAUUAAAUUAUUACAGAAUAACAGCUAGGGUGCUGAAAUGAAAUAUAAAAAAUAGAGAUUUAAAAAAAUAAUUUAAAGAAUAAAGAUACAUGUAUACAGAACCCCUAUCUAGACCUUAAAUAAAUCAAGCCAUAUAAACACAUAAAUGACAAAUACUCUGAAAUUGUGUUUAGGUCAGACAGGAGUUUGUCUGCAAAAGACUAGUAACUCUCCAAUAAAAAAAGAAAAACUGAAAAAAACUGAGAAAGACAUGAUUCAUACAUAAAAUACAAAAUUUAAAAUCUCAAAUCAAAAAAUUAUAAACAGUCAGGGGCGUUACUUAAACGAGUAGUUUUUUUUCGAGUUACUUAAAAAUAUAUUUAUAUAUAAGUAAUUUUUGUUUUUAAAAAUGAUAAAAUUACUUAAUAGAGUUCUUUUAAAUUCUACAAGAAUCAUAGAUUAAAUGUAGUUUGAAUGAGUUUUUUUUUAUCAUUUUAUAUCAUGAAAUAAAGAUUUUAUUAGAUAAAUUUGAGAAGAGUAUGGAGAUAAAGGUUUAAGUUAAAAAUCAUGACAAAAAUAUUACUUGAAUAAGUUAUUUUAUAUAUUUCUGAAAAAAAUAGUAAUAACACUUAUUGAAGGAACACAUGUAGUUGAUUUGGGUUAGCAGUUAUAAAUAACUUGAAAUCUUAAUUAAUUCACAAGUAUGUUUCUAUUUAUAUCAGUCUAUCUUCAAGAUUUAGGAGGAAAAUGAUAAUUUUAUAGUCCCUAGAGACCAAUCUUUAACCCAGAAGCAUCCUAUGAAAGAUAAGGGAUAAGUGCAUCAGUAAGUUGAUUAGUGUUACAUUUCAUGGGGAAAAUAACCAGAUGACUGUGAAAACUUGUUAAAGCUAGUAAAAUCUGCAUUAUUCAUGGACACCUAUAAAAAUGAUAUUUAGAAAAGUUACCUAUAUAAGACUAUUAAAAUAAUAUUUAAAAUAGCCUUGUUUUCAACAUAUCUUAUAUAGGAUUAGGUAAUUUCAAAUGUGACUUGUUUAAAUAAUGCCCCUGACUUAUGAUUUUUUUUCUGUUUGUCAAAAGUUUUAUUUUCUAUUUAGCUCAGCUGACCUUAGAGGCCAUGUGAGCUUUUGCCAUCCCUUGGAACAUCCAUUGUCUGGUGUACACUUUUUCAUAGAUCUUCUCUUUUAAAACUACUGAAUUAAUUAAUUUUAACCAAACUUAGGCUAAAUGAUCCUUAGGGUAUCUAGUAUAUGUUUUGUAAUUUUUAUACGACCGCAAACAUUUUUUGGUCGUAUAUAUUGGUAUCACGUUGGCGUCGUCGUCGUGGGAAGACAUUUGGUGUUCGCACUCUAACUUUAGUAAAAGUAAAUAGCAAUCUAUGAAUUUAAACACAAGGUUUAUGACCAUAAAAGGAAGGUUGGGAUUGAUUUUGGGUGUUUUGGUUCCAAUUGACAGUUUAGGAAUUAGGGGCCUAAAAGGCCCAAAUAAGCAUUUUUCUUGGUUUUCGCACAAUAACUUUAGUAUAAGUAAACAGAAAUCUAUGAAAUUUUAACAUAAGGUCUAUGACCACAAAAGGAAAAUUAGGAUUGAUUUUGGGAGUUUAGGUCCCAACAGUUUAGAAAUUAGGGGCCAAAAACAGGUCCCAAAUAAGCAUUUUUCUUGGUUUUUGCACAAUAACUUUAGUAUAUAAGUUAAUAGAAGUCUAUGAAAUUUUAACACAAGGUUAAUGACCACAAAAGGAAGGUUUGGAUUGAUUUUAGGGGCCAAAAGGGUCCAAAAUUAAACUUUGUUUGAUUUCAUGAUAACAUCAAAAAAUGAAUUAUUGGGGUUCUUUGAUAUACCAAAUCUAACCGUGUAUUCAGAUUCUUAAUUUUUGGUCCUGUUUUCAAAUUGGUCUACAUUAAGGUCCAAAGGGUCCAAAAUUAAACUUUGCUUGAUUUUAACAAAAAUUGAAUUCUUGGGGUUCUUUGGUCUGCUGAAUCUAAACAUGUACUUAGAUUUUUGAUUAUGGGCCCAGUUUUUAAGUUGGUCCAAAUCGGGGUCCAAAAUUAUUAUAUUAAGUAUUGUGCAAUAGCAAGAAAUUUUCAAUUGCACAGUAUUCAGCAAUAGCAAGAAAUUAAUCUUCAAUUGCACAGUAUUGUGCAAUAGCAAGAAAUCUUCAAUUGCACAGUAUUGUGCAAUAGCAAGAAAUCAAUUGCACAGUAUUGUGCAAUAGCAAGAAAUCUUCAAUUGCACAGUAUUGUGCAAUAGCAAGAAAUCUUCAAUUGCACAGUAUUGUGCAAUAGCAAGAAAUAUCUAAUUGCACAAUAUUGCGCAAUAGCAAGAAAUUUUCAAUUGCACAGUUUUGCGCAAUAGCAAGAAAUAUUUAAUUGCACAGUAUUGUCCGGUUUUCAAAUUGGUCUUCAUUAAGGUCCAAAUUAAAGGGUCCAAAAUUAAACUUUGUUUGAUUUCAACAAAAAUUGAAUAUAUGGGGUUCUUCAAUAUGCUGAAUCUAACCAUGUAUUUAGAUUUUUAAUAUUUGAGCCCAGUUAUCAAAUUGGUCCACAUUGAGGUCUAAAGGUUCUAAAAUUGAACAUUAUUUGAUUUCAUCAAAAAUUGAAUUCUUGGGGUUCUAUGAUAUGCUGAAUCUAACCAUGUAUUUAGAUUUUUGAUAUUCAUGAUAUUGGACCAUAAUAGGUAAAUGUCCAUUUUAAAAUUUUUAAGUUUUUAAGUUUAAGUUCUUAUAGACCACAUUCAUUCUGUGUCAGAAACCUAUGUUGUGUCAACUAUUUAAUCACAAUCCAAAUUCAGAGCUGUAUCAAGCUUAAAUGUUGUGUCCAUACUUGCCCCAACUGUUCAGGGUUCGACCUCUGCGGUCAUAUAAAGCUGCGCCCUGCAGAGCAUCUGGUUAGCUCAUGGCGGCCCGAAAGGCCCUAUGUGAUCUUACGCCAUCACAUCGUAAACUAUUUUAAAAAAUCUUCUCCUCUGAAACGACUGGGCCAAAUACCUUCAAACUUUAACUAAUGUUCCUUAGGNAAAAGGCCCAAAUAAGCAUUUUUCUUGGUUUUCGCACAAUAACUUUAUAUAAGUAAAAGAAAUCUAAUGAAAUUUUAACAUAAGUCUAUGACCACAAAAGGAAAAUUAGGAUUUAUUUGGGAGUUUAGCCAACAGUUUAGAAAUUAGGGGCAAAAACAGGUCCCAAAUAAGCAUUUUCUUGUUUUUGCACAAUAACUUUAGUAUAAGUUAAUAGAAGUCUUGAAAUUUUAACAACAAGGUUAAUGACCACAAAAGGAAGGUUUGGAUUGAUUUUGGGAGUCUUGGUCCCAACGAAUUAGGGGUCAAAAGGGUCCAAAAUUAAACUUUGUUUGAUUUCAUGAACAUCAAAAAAUGAAUUAUUGGGGUUCUUUUGAUAUACCAAAUCUAACCGUGUGUUCAGAUUCUUAAUUUUUGUCCUGUUUUCAAAUGGUCUACAUUAAGUCCAAGGUUCCAAAAUUAAACUUUGCUUGAUUUUAACAAAAAUUGAAUUCUUGGGGUUCUUGGUCUGCUAAUCUAAACAUGUACUUACAUUUUUGAUUAUGGGCCAGUUUUAAGUUGGUCCAAAUCGGGGUCCAAAUUAUUAAUUAAGUAUUGUGCAAUAGCAAGAAAAUUUUCAAUUGCACAGUAUUCAGCAAUAGCAAGAAAAAAUCUUCAAUUGCACAGUAUUGUGCAAUAGCAAGAAACUUCAUUGCACAGUAUUGUGCAAUAGCAAAAAUCUUCAAUUGCACAUUUGGCAAUAGCAAGAAAUCUAAUUGCAUAAUAAUGCGCAAUAGCAAGAAAUUUUCCAUUGCACAGUUUUGCGCAAUAGCAAGAAAUAUUUAAUUGCACAGUAUUGUCCGGUUUUCAAAUUGGUCUUCAUUAAGGUCCAAAUUGAAGGGUCCAAAAUUAAACUUUGUUUGAUUUCAACAAAAAUUGAAUAUAUGGGGUUCUUCAAUAUGCUGAAUCUAACCAUGUAUUUAGAUUUUUAAUAUUUGAGCCCAGUUAUCAAAUUGGUCCACAUUGAGGUCUAAAGGUUCUAAAAUUGAACAUUAUUUGAUUUCAUCAAAAAUUGAAUUCUUGGGGUUCUAUGAUAUGCUGAAUCUAACCAUGUAUUUAGAUUUUUGAUAUUCAUGAUAUUGGACCAUAAUACAUGUAAUAGGUAAAUGUCCAAUUUAAAAUUUUUAAGUUUUUAAAUUUAAGUUCUUAUAGACCAUUGUAGACCCCAUUCAUUCUGUGUCAGAAACCUAUGUUGUGUCAACUAUUUAAUCACAAUCCAAAUUCAGAGCUGUAUCAAGCUUAAAUGUUGUGUCCAUACUUGCCCCAACUGUUCAGGGUUCGACCUCUGUGGUCAUAUAAAGCUGCGCCCUGCGGAACAUCUGGUUAGCUCAUGGCGGCCCCGAAAGGCCCUAAUUGUGACUUACGCCACACACAUCGUAAACUAUUUUUAAAACUUCUCCUCUGAAACGACUGGCCAAAUACCUUCAAACUUUAACUAAAUGUUCCUUAGGGUAUCUUGUUUUUGUUUAGUUAUUAUAAUUUAUAGAUAGAUAUAAACUGUUACAAAAUAAAUAAAGCAGCAAUAAUGUUCAGCAAAGUAAGAUCUACAAAAAAGUUAAUGUGACCAAAAUUGUUAAUUGACCUCUUAACGAGUUCUUGCCCUUUUAAGUCAAUUUUACACAACAUGCACAAUGUGUUGAUCAAGUUUGCUAUAACAUUUAAAAAUCUUUUCCUCUAAAAUACAGGUGAGCGAUUCAGGCUCUUGAGAGCAUCUUGUUAUCUUGUCCUUUAAUUAAGAAACACUGCAUAGUUUGGUAAACAAACUUUAAUAUUUUAAGAUUAAUCUGCCUUAAUUAUUAAGACUAAUCUUGACAACCCUUGGCUAUUUGAAGUUAUUGCCCCUGAAAAGCAAGUUCCCACAAAUUUUACAUGCUAUAUAUGUUUUUGUUAACAAUGAUUGUCAUAUUGAAAACAAUUAUAGAUAUCUUAAAGAUAAAUUUAAAACAGCAAAACGGUAAAACAGUAGUGUGGAUCCUUAUAUGAGUUAUUUGCCCUUGAAAGACGAAAUUUUAGCAGAAUUUCAAGUUUCAUGCAGAAAAUAGUACAUUGUAGUAUUGGUUUGUCCUUUAGAAAUUAUUUUACCAAAAAAUGUCUGUAAUGAUCACGAUAGAUAGAAAGAAAUUUAUUUUUAGCUCACCUGGCCCUAAGGGCCAAGUGAGCUUUUCUCAUCACUUGGCGUCCGGCGUCGGCGUAGCGUCAUCUGUCAUCGUUAGCUUUUACAAAAAUUUUUUCUCUGAAACUACUGGGCCAAAUUAAACCAAACUUGGCCACAAUCAUCAUUGGGGUAUCUAGUUUCAAAUAUAUGUGGCGUGACCCAGCCAACCAACCAAGAUGGCCACCACAGCUAAAAAUAGAACAUAGGGGUAAAAUGCAGUUUUUGGCUUAUAACUCAAAACCCAAAGCAUUUAGAUCAAAUCUGACAGAGUAAAAUUGUUUAUCAGGUCAAGAUCUAUCUGCCCUGAAAUUUUCAGAUGAAUCAGACAACCGGUUGUUGGUUUGCUGCCCCUGAAUCGGUAAUUUUAGGGAAAUUUUGCUGUUUUUGGUUAUUUAAUAUCUUGAAUAUUAUUAUAGAUAGAGAGAAACUGUAAACAGCAAUAAAUGUUCAGCACAGUAAGAUUUACAAAUAAGUCAACAUGACUGAAAUGGUCAGUUGACCCCUUUAGGAGUUAUUGCCCUUUAUAGUCAAUUUUUAACCAUUUUUCCUAAAUCUUAGUAAUCUUUUACAAAAAUCUUCUCCUCUGAAACUACUGGGCCAAAUUAAGCCAAACUUGGCCACAAUCAUCUUUGGGGUAUCUAGUUUUCUAACCAAGAUGGCCACCACGGCUAAAAAUAGAACAUAGGGGUAAAAUGCAGUUUUUGGCUUAUAACUCAAAAACCAAAGCAUUUAGAGCAAAUCUGACAAGGGGGGGGUAAAUUGUUUAUCAGGUCAAAAUCUAUCUGCCCUGAAAUUUUCAGAUUGAUCGGACAACCGGUUGUUAGGUUUGCUGUCCCUAAAUUGGUAAUUUUAAGGAAAUUGUGCCGCUUUUUGUUAUUAUUUUGAAUAUUAUUAUAGAUAGAGAUAAACUGUAAACAGCAAUAGUGUACAGCAAAGUAAGACCUUAAAAUAAGUCAACAUGACCAAAAUGAUCAAUUGAGCCCCUAAGGAGUUAUUGUCUUCUAAAGUCAAUUUUUAUAAUAAUUUUCAUAAAAUUUGUAAAUUUUUACUAACAUUUGUAGAAUCUAUUUUGAUAUACGAUUCCAGUAUUUGCUGAAUACUGUUUGAAUUUUUCUGCUUAAGAAUUCGAUUGAUUACUCGUAAUGAAUGAUAUAUUAUAUAUCUAUUUUCAACUGUGUUCUUUUUCUAGACAAAAAUUCAUAGAAAUUGAUCCAAGAUCCACCUAUUUAGGUGAAAAUCAUAACUCUAUCCUAAUUUCAUAGACAGAAUUUCAUAGAAAUUAAUCUAAUAUCUAUAUCCAUUAGUGCAAAUCACAAUUUUAAUGAUGUGCCUUCAAGCAGUUCAUGUGUAAAAAAAAUUCUAAGGAUGAUACUGUGGAUUCAUUUAUUUUCGAGGGUAUCAAUUUUCGUAGAUUAAAGAGAUUUUGUAUAUUUCACGGAUAUUUGUUUUAUGGUUUUGUCAAAGUCUGUAUACAACCUGAUGGCACAUUUGUAAUUCGUUUAACAUUUAAAAUUAUGGUUCAUCUGUUUCAAUGAAAACCAAGAAAAUUGGUAUCCCAUGAAUAAUGAUUCCACAGUAAACAUUUUCAGCAUGAAUGAUGAAGUUUUAUGACAUUCUGUUCUUUUUUCAGAUUGACAUAUCCAUAGAACAUGCAGUUAGCCUAGACAAACAGGAAGAGAAAGGUCUCUGAUUCAGUUCUCUUUGAAGUUCAAGGUCUUUUUUAAUCUAAAUUAUAAUGGGAAGAUGUGAAAGGUAAGUUUUAAAGUUUGUAAGUGUUCAAAAAUAUGUUAUUUCUAACAAAAUGUGCUGUUUCACAAAUAAAAUACUCUGUCUCUUAGACACUUAUGUAGCAAUAUGGCCACUAUAUUGGUGUAUGAAAUGAUUGUAAGCUGUAUUUGCCUGACCGGUUAAACUGACCAUGCGGUCAUUUUCAUGGAUCUUUUAUGGAUCUAGUUUAUGUAUUAUUAUUGAAAAAAGCAUCAAAUUUUCAAUCAUAAGUAAAGCAGGCUUGGUAGUUGUUAAUUUCUGUGUCAUUUUGGUUCUUGUGGAGAGUUGUCUCAUUGGCAAUUAUACAACAUCUUCUUUUUUAUAUGACAUUUGAAUGUUGCAUUUGAUAUAUAUAUAUAUAUACGUAUAUUGCAAUCACACAUUAGCUGGCCAAUUGUUUAUUAGCAUCCAUUGUUCACAAAUAACUAUUUGUGAAAUUAAGGGACAUGCUAAGGACAACCUUUUAAUGCCCCCGCAGUAGUAUUUACCCUUGACCUUCUGUAUGACUGUACAUCCUUCCAUACCUCCCAAAGUUGGUUACUGUUCUCAAACUUCAGUUUGCCUCAACCAAAUGUUAUGAUACUGAUACAUAAUGCUUAUACCAAAAAACACAGAUCAAGUUUGAAUUUUGGUGGUGUCAUGUACUUUAACCGUUCUAGAGUUAUGCCCCUUUACAAACAAACAAAAAUGCUGAAACUUUAUUUCAAUGUUCUCACUUUAGUUUGCCUCUAAACCAAAUGCUGUGAAACUAAUACACAGCAAUGCUUAUUACCACAAAAUACAGAUCAAGUAUGAAUUAAGGGGGUGGCGUCACUUAACUGUUCUGCAGUUAUGUCCCUUAACAAAUGAAAAAGAUGCUUAUAUUUAUAGUUUCUGUUCUCUAACUUUGGUUUGCCUCAACUAAAUGCAAUGAAACUUAUACACAAUGCUUGUUACCACAUAAUACAGAUCAAGUUUGAAUUUUAAGGGGGUCACUUUAACUGUUCUAGAAUUAUGCCCCUUCACAAAUUGAAUGAUUGCUGAAAUUUUCAUUUCAAUUCACUAACUUUAGCUUGCCUCAACCAAAUGCUAUGAUAUGUAACACAAUACUUAUCACCACAAAAUACAGAUCAAGUUUGACUUUAAAGAUUGUCACUAAAUUUUCUAGAGUUAUGCGCCUUUGAAAAUGGAAAAAUUACUGAAUUUUUGUUUCCGUUCUCUAAAUUAAGUUUGCAUAAACCACAUUUUAUGGAACUUGUACACAAUACCUAUUACCACUAAAUCAGAUUAAGUGUUUUUGGUGGAGUCACUUUUACCGUUCUUCAGUUAUGUCCUUUUAUAACUUUAUAUGAUAUACAAGAAGGGCAUCAUCUGUGAUCCAUUGAUACAUUCCCUAUUUAAUUUUUUGUUAUUAUUUUGAUUUUUUUGGUGUCGGAGCCAAUAAAUGCCCAUUUGUUUGUAGGUAAAAACAUGAAGAAUCGGUAAAGUAACACACACACAUAUAUAUAUAUAUCAAAAAAAUUAAAACACCAGAUUAGAAAAAAAAGAUUCAGUAUGAUUGCUUUAAGGAAACAACCGCCAUAAUAAGAAACAAAAUUUAAAUAUCAUUAGUGUGGUAAGUCUUCAAUUAUUGAACAAAACAAAUGACAUACAUUAAGCCAUGAAAGACAUGUGUUAACAAAUUCAUUUAUUAUCAUGAUUAUAAGACAGAACAAAAUAUGCUGGAAAAAAAAUCAUGAAUAAUAUGCCUGAAGGACUUUAAAAUAUUGAACUUGAAUUGACUUUUCUUUGUAGGAUGCAUAGAAAUUUUUGGAGGACAAAUUGGCGUGAGUCUAAAAAGACACAGAUUUGAAGAUAAGCGAGAGAAAAAGAAUGACAAACAUAGUUUAAAGGACUGAAGACUUCCUGAUAUCUUUCAAACUGUUCUUUUGGUAUAAAUGUAAUAAUGCAAUAUCAUCUUAUUUGUAUAGGCAUACAUCCUGUAAAUCUUGUUGAUGCCUUUUAGCUCCUUAAAUGCAACCACUAUUUAGUAACAUUGUUGUGAUUGUAGUUCUAUAUGUGAGCAUAUUAGUUAACUAGACUGUCAUUGACUGUAGUAAUUGCAUAUAUACAUGCAUUAUUAUAUACCAUACUUAUCAUCAAUCUUAGUCUUUUUAAUUCAGAAGAAAUUUUUAAAACAAGUUAUUCUAAUCAGACUAACCUAUUAUAUGCACUUUGUCAAAUAUAGCAAAUAUGUUGCAAAUGUGGUGCAAUAGAGAGCAACCUAUAUAUUUCUUAGAAAAUACUUUUUUCUGAACUGUAAUGAAAAGUAUGCUUAUAUAGUUAAAAUACUUUUUUUGUAAGUGAGACUUAUUUUCUAUGAAUCAUAAUAUUUUAACAAAUAUUAGAAACAAAUUUACAUAAAAACUUUCUUGUGUAUCAAAAUUCUGUGUUGUAUAAAAAUCUUAAAGAUUUUGUUUUUUCAGGAUAUUUCCCAAUAUGUUUAAGAAAUCAAAAUUCUAAAUUUUGGCUUGUAGAUUUUAUUUCGGGAUUUUUCCCGAAAUGGGAAAAAAAAAUCUAUGCACCAAAAUAAAUAAAGUGUGUGCCUGAUAUUAGAUUUAUAUUUUCGGGAUUUUUCCCGAAAUGUGAAAAGAAAUUAUUAGUCAUGAGAUCUAGCAUAUACAUUGAAUUUUUCGGGAUAAAUCCCGAAAAUAUUUGCAGACAUCUGUAUUAUACAUUUUGUAAUUUGUUUAUAUUUUCGGGAUUUUUCCCGAAAUGUGAAAAGAAAUUAUUAGUCAUGAGAUCGAGCAUAUACAAUGAACUUUUCGGGAUAAAUCCCAAAAAAAUUUACAGACAUCUGUGUUAUACAUUUUGUACUUAGUUUAUUUUUGUCGGGAUAUUUCCCGAAAAUUGUUUCAGAUUUUUUUUUUAAACGCUUUGCCAACAUAUAUGUCCUAAAAUUUAAUGUUGAAAAUGAGUUCGGGACAUUUCCCGAAUAAAUAGUUGUCAUAUACAUUUUUUUACCACAAAUAGUUCAUUACUUUCAUAUAUUUUGGG
rnacentral:lncRNA from 1 species